rnacentral:rRNA from 1 species
GUAGGGAAUAUUGCACAAUGGGCGAAAGCCUGAUGCAGCAACGCCGCGUGCGCGAUGACGGCCUUCGGGUUGUAAAGCGCUUUUCGGGGAGAUGAGGAAGGACAGUAUCCCCGGAAUAAGGCUCGGCUAACUACGUGCCAGCAGCCGCGGUAACACGUAGGAGCCAAGCGUUAUCCGAAUUCACUGGGCGUAAAGCGCGUGCAGGCGGCUCGAUAAGUUGGAUGUAAAAGCUCCUGGCUCAACUGGGAGAGGACGUUCAAUACUGUCGGGCUAGAGGGCGACAGAGGGAGGUGGAAUUCCCGGUGUAGUGGUGAAAUGCGUAGAUAUCGGGAGGAACACCAGUGGCGAAGGCGGCCUCCUGGGUCGCACCUGACGCUCAGACGCGAAAGCUAGGGGAGCGAACGGGAUUAGAAACCCUAGUAGUCC